CACGGCUCAGGGCACACACGGCUCAGGGCACACACGGCUCAGGGCACACACGGCUCAGGGCACACACGGCCCAGGGCACACACGGCCCAGGGCACACACGGCUCAGGGCACACACGGCCCAGGGCACACACGGCCCAGGGCACACACAGCUCAGUGCACACACAGCCCAGGGCACACACGGCUCAGGGCACACACGGCUCAGGGCACACACGGCCCAGGGCACACACAGCUCAGGGCACACACGGCCCAGGGCACACACGGCCCAGGGCACACACAGCCCAGGGCACACACAGCUCAGGGCACACACGGCCCAGGGCACACACGGCCCAGGGCACACACGGCCCAGGACACACACGGCCCAGGGCACACACGGCCCAGGACACACACGGCCCAGGGCACACAUGGCCCAGGGCACA